UGGGGAAUUUUGCACAAUGGAGGAAACUCUGAUGCAGCGACGCCGCGUGAGUGAUGAAGAUCUUCGGAUUGUAAAACUCUGUCCUUAGUGAAGAUAAUGACAGUAACUAAGAAGCAAGCCCUGGCUAAAUACGUGCCAGCAGCCGCGGUAAUACGUAUGGGGCAAGCGUUGUCCGGAAUUAUUGGGCGUAAAGGGUACGUAGGCGGUUUAAUAAGUCCUAAUUAAAAGGCUAUGGCUCAACCAUAGUAUGGUUAGGAAACUGUUGAACUUGAGUAGAUGAGGGGAAAGUGGAAUUCCAUGUGUAGCGGUGAAAUGCGUAGAUAUAUGGAGGAACACCAAUGGCGAAGGCGACUUUCUGGAAUCAAACUGACGCUGAGGUACGAAGGCGUGGGGAGCAAACAGG
rnacentral:rRNA from 1 species